AGUAAGGUCAGCUAAUCAAGCUAUCGGGCCCAUACCCCGAAAAUGUUGGUCAUAUCCUUCCCAUACUA
rnacentral:tRNA from 1 species